GGACAUAUUAUGAGCAUAGCCACUGUCUGUGAUGGAUACAGAUGAAUUCUCUCCUCCUGUGGCCUCCAAGGGAUUGCUGAAGAAAAUAUUGAGAAACUACUUUGGGUUUAACUCAGACAAAAGAUUUUCCUACAAAAGACCUACAGGUAUUGAUCCCAAGAGUUUUCUAAAAAUCCCCUGGAGGGGUAAUCUCUGUAUCAUUCUUUCUCUCAGGGAAUUAGACCUUUGAGAGAAGACUUUCUGGGAGAAAUGAUAUUCAAGCUGAGAACUAAAGUAGCUGUCUAGAAGAUAGGUGUGCUCAUUUGAUUUGAAAAUAGCCUCAAGGAAGCAUGAAUAGCAUGAGAUCAAGAGUCAUGAGCUCAUCAGAUUCACAGGCAGUUCCUCUUUCCAGAUUUGCAGCAUGACUAAUGGUUGGGAUAGUUGAGAAUAGUCCUACCUCUUCCUUAACUAUAUUCUUAAUAAUUAUCUCACUACUGAUACAAAGCAGAAAUAUCUGCUGAGUUUAUGUGUAGGAUAUUAAAUUUAAAAACCUAGUUGAAACAUUUUUGCAAGAAGGAAACUAGAAUGAAAGUAUCUAGCAGGGCAACUGGUUUAUAAUUGAAGAUAGUUUUUCUUCAUAAAGAUGACAGAGACAACCCUUUAUUCUGAAGGAUUAGUUGGAUAGUUUGA